CUACGGGUUGCUGCAGUGAGGAAUAUUGGGCAAUGGAGGCAACUCUGACCCAGCCAUGCCGCGUGCAGGAAGACGGUUCUAUGAAUUGUAAACUGCUUUUAUUCAGGAAUAAAAUUAGCUACGUGUAGUUGACUGAAUGUACUGAAUGAAUAAGCACCGGCUAACUCCGUGCCAGCAGCCGCGGUAAUACGGAGGGUGCAAGCGUUAUCCGGAUUUAUUAGGUUUAAAGGGUCCGUAGGCGGGAUCUUAAGUCAGUGGUGAAAGCCUGCAGCUUAACUGUAGAACAGCCAUUGAUACUGGGAUUCUUGAAUUUGAUUGAGGUAGGCGGAAUGAGAAGUGUAGCGGUGAAAUGCGUAGAUAUUUCUCAGAACACCAAUUGCGAAGGCAGCUUACUAAGUCAAUAUUGACGCUGAUGGACGAAAGCGUGGGUAGCGAACAGGAUUAGAUACCCUAGUAGUC
rnacentral:rRNA from 1 species